UCAUAGAGUGUAAAGGCAUAAGGGAGCUUGACUGCGAGACCUACAAGUCGAGCAGGGUCGAAAGACGGACUUAGUGAUCCGGUGGUUCCGCAUGGAAGGGCCAUCGCUCAACGGAUAAAAGCUACCCCGGGGAUAACAGGCUUAUCUCCCCCAAGAGUUCACAUCGACGGGGAGGUUUGGCACCUCGAUGUCGGCUCAUCGCAUCCUGGGGCUGUAGUCGGUCCCAAGGGUUGGGCUGUUCGCCCAUUAAAGCGGUACGCGAGCUGGGUUCAGAACGUCGUGAGACAGUUCGGUCCCUAUCCGUCGUGGGCGUAGGAAAUUUGAGAGGAGCUGUCCUUAGUACGAGAGGACCGGGAUGGACAUACCUCUGGUGUACCAGUUGUCGUGCCAACGGCAUAGCUGGGUAGCUAUGUGUGGACGGGAUAAGUGCUGAAAGCAUCUAAGCAUGAAGCCCCCCUCAAGAUGAGAUUUCCCAACUUCGGUUAUAAGAUCCCUCAAAGAUGAUGAGGUUAAUAGGUUCGAGGUGGAAGCAUGGUGACAUGUGGAGCUGACGAAUACUAAUCGAUCGAAGACUUAAUCAA
rnacentral:rRNA from 1 species